GGCCAGACUCCUACGGGAGGCAGCAGUGAGGAAUAUUGGUCAAUGGGCGGGAGCCUGAACCAGCCAAGCCGCGUGAAGGAAGAAGGCGCCAAGCGUCGUAAACUUCUUUUGUCGGGGAACAAAGGGCGCCACGUGUGGCGUUGUGAGUGUACCCGAAGAAAAAGCAUCGGCUAACUCCGUGCCAGCAGCCGCGGUAAUACGGAGGAUGCGAGCGUUAUCCGGAUUUAUUGGGUUUAAAGGGUGCGUAGGUGGUUAAUUAAGUCAGCGGUGAAAGUUUGUGGCUCAACCAUAAAAUUGCCGUUGAAACUGGUUGACUUGAGUAUAUUUGAGGUAGGCGGAAUGCGUGGUGUAGCGGUGAAAUGCAUAGAUAUCACGCAGAACUCCGAUUGCGAAGGCAGCUUACUAAACUAUAACUGACACUGAAGCACGAAAGCGUGGGGAUCAAACAGGAUUAGAUACCCUGGUA
rnacentral:rRNA from 1 species